rnacentral:lncRNA from 1 species
UCUAAUAGGGGAGGCGUCAUUAUUUUGUUCAUCAUUCCAGCAGUUGAAAGAACAAGUAAAUCUUUGAAUGAGACCUCGCUCUUUUCUCACUCAAAAUGAUGCCAGGAUGUUCACAUUCUUGGUGGGUGGUAAGCAUGAGAAUGUGACUUUUGGUGAGAAGCAAAUUGUCAAGAAGAUGAACAUUGUUUUCUCUGAACUUGAUGACCAAAAAAACUUUUCAUUAGGUGUAAAAUUUCUGAUGGGUUCUGUCUGUCCAAAAGGGUGGGCGCUUAAAGAGGCCCAGUGCAACCUGUAACCUUUGUACAGAUAUUGUUAAUGUGCUUAAUCUGUACCGCUCUAGAUGACCAUUCUUGACGUGUGGUAAGCACGAGAAUGUGACUUUUGGUGAGAAGCAAAUUGUCAAGAAGAUGAACAUUGUUUUCUCUGAACUUGAUGACCAAAAAAACUUUUCAUUAGGUGUAAAAUUUCUGAUGGGUUCUGUCUGUCCAAAAGGGUGGGCGCUUAAAGAGGCCCAGUGCAACCUGUAACCUUUGUACAGGUAUUGUUAAUGUGCUUAAUCUGUACCGCUCUAGAUGACCAUUCUUGACGUGUGGUAAGCACGAGAAUGUCACUUUUGGUGAGAUGCAAAUCGUCAAGUAGGUGACCAUCUUUUUCUCUAAACUGAUGAAGGGCG